CUCUGACACACGUUUCUCAACUAGCCGAAUACAUCCGAUGAGGUAAUUAGAGGCAGGUGGUCGCAGGAAGCGAGUGUGAACUCACUGAGGGCGACUAGUGGUCAGGUGGAGAACUGCAGCAGCAUCCACAGGUUUCAGUGAGCACUAGAUGCAGUCAUUCAGCUGCGUCUGUGGCUGCAUCGACAGAAGGACUGAGCCGUGACCUGCACCGAGCUAUGAACCUGCUGGUCAGCAGCUCCCAGCUUCACCUGGAGCCUGUGAGAAGAUGUCACCACCACUGAUAGUGACCUUCAUCAUCACCUUUAAUGUGGUGAAUCACAUGAUAAGGAGGCAACAACAGAGACAACAGACGAGUUUCUGCUUUGGAUUCUGAAGGAAGCUCUAACAUCAAAGUGUUUUUUUCUUAUUCUGAACCAAGAGAUGAAGAGAAGCUCACUGUCAAUGAAGGAACCACUGCAUUUAUCCAAUGCUUUAAAUGAUCAAUUACAGAGAUUUAUCAAGGGACACUGAAUGAUGCGUUUAGGAGCAUCUGGAGAAAUAAGUUCUCUAUGUUCAGCUCCAACAGGUGCUUUGUCCUGAGGUGGAUGUAGAACAAUGAAAAUUUGAGGAAAUUCCCUGGGAGAUAGAAUAAUACAGCUACACUUCAGCAUGUGAGCUGUAGAUCUGUCUUCUUUGCUCCAGUCUGUAUUAACACAGAUUUAAUGCCGUCUGGUUCUCAUAUGGUUAAUGUUGGCUUGGUUCAUUACGGAGUGUCACAACCCGGCUCAGCUGAAGAGAGAGAAAACAGGCCAUGAGAAAAGAGAGUCUGUGUCCAUCAGAGGAGAAGCAGCGUGAGGGAGCCUCCCAGCAAAGAAUCCCUCCAGCAGAUGAAUCUGAAUGGAAAAGCAGCAACAGCUUCAGCUGAUGGAUGAAUGUGACCAGGAUCUUCAGCCUGAGAGAAGUAGGAACAGCUGAGCCCAGUGGGAGUCACUCAUGUCAGACUGAUGGACACUUACACCAAAGCAGGAUGAAGAGAAACUGGGUCAGAACACGGUUCUGAACGGAUUCAACUGCGUCAGAGAAAAGUGAAUCAGAAACACUCUGAACCAGAGAUUUUAUUACAUUAUUAUUUCAGUACAAACAGAAUGUGGAGGUUCAUCAUGUGACUCUGAAUUUAUUAUGACUCAUGUUACAUCAUGAUUGUUACAAUAUAAUCAUACCACAAAGUGAUGGACAUUUAUAUACUGUGAUUAUAACAUGUGAUGGUUUAUUGUUAGGUUAAAUGCUCUAGAGGUGCAGACGCAACACACUAUGUUCCCACAGCCUGUUCCAGAUUCCCAUCAAAGCCACAACUCUCCAGACAAAGGAAGUUCACAAGGAAUUAUUUAGAACUGGUUCAGAAAAAAAAAACGGGUUUAA